AAACUUACCUGACGCGAGAGGCACCUUGAUCAACUAGGAGGUCCUCUCAGGAUGAGGCCCUUUCAUUGCACUUCGACUGGGUUGACUCCUG
rnacentral:sRNA from 1 species